GCAAUUCCGCUGGAAGGAAAUGGGGCUCGGCGUCCCGAUUAAGGUAAGUUGGUUGAGGUAUACCGGCCCCACCCAAGCCGAACGAUCCGGUAAGCCGAACUUGAGGAGGGUUGAUCGGCCGGCAUUGGGACUGAGACACGGCCCAGAACUCCUACGGGAAGGCAGCAGUGGGGGAUAUUGCACAAAUGGGGGGAAACCCUGAUGCAGCCAACGCCGCGUGAGGGAAGACGGUCUUCGGAUUGUAAACCUAAAGUUGUCAGGGACGAAACAAGACGGUACCUGAAGAGAAAGCUCCGGCUAACUACGUGCCAGCAGCCGCGGUAAUACGUAGGGAGCGAGCGUUGUCCGGAUUUACUGGGUGUAAAGGGUGCGUAGGCGGGUCCGCAAGUCAGACGUGAAAUACCGGGGCUUAACUCCGGGGCUGCGUUUGAAACUGUAGAUCUUGAGUGAAGUAGAGGUAAGCGGAAUUCCUAGUGUAGCGGUGAAAUGCGUAGAUAUUAGGAGGAACACCAGUGGCGAAGGCGGCUUACUGGGCUUUAACUGACGCUGAGGCAUGAAAGCGUGGGGAGCAAACAGGAGUAGAUACCCUGGUAGUCCACACCGUA
rnacentral:rRNA from 1 species